CUUGUGAUGAAGUGGAAACUCACAUUUCCUGUUUGUGUUGCGGCUUGGGGGGAACUUUUGGCGGUGGCGCUUUUUUCGGAGACACUGACGCGGAAGUGGUGGCGGACCCUCCUCCGCCCUCCCUUGCCCCGUCGCCACCCCUGGUGUGGUGGUGUCCUGCGGGUGGUGCGUCAAAGUCCCCGAGCCCGAGAGGCUCGCUGCUGAUGAUGGCGUAGCCCUGGUAGUCCUCAUCGCCCGCCUCCCCUUUGCUCUGAUCGGUCGUUCGCCUGGUGCGGCCAGGCGUCUCCUCCCCCUCCCGGGGCCGCGAGCGCUGACUGUCGACGUCGCUUCCCGCGGGCUCAGGCCGCGGCAGGAAGCUGAGGGAGGAGUUGAACGAGCUGAGGCUGUAGACGGAGACGGCGUCGCCGGACAGCGCGUCCCGGCAGAUGGCGGAUGGGGAGGACGGAUGAGGCGGCGAGGCGGGAAAAGACGGCGGCUGAGAUGCCGACGGGGAGGACGAGAGAGACUCCAGAGAGGAGGAGCUGGACACGCUGGCACCAUUGGGAAGAUCCGUGGAGUCUGAAACAAGACACGGAAGAAGCACGUCACACACGGCGGAUUUCCUGUACUACGGGAUUGGUCCCCAGUCAACAGGGAUUGCACACCGGUAAACCCGUUUUGGUUGCCAGUCAAUGUGGACAGUUCGCAGGUCGAUCAGGUUUGGGUAAAUAGGUCAGAAUUGUUUUUGUUGAACUGGUUGUAGUUAACUUGAAUUGCUCCCCGGUCAAUCUGGACUAGUCAAACUGGAUCGGUUGCCUGCGUAUACCCAUUGUGUGUCAGUCUGGGACACACGAUGGACGUGUUCUCACCAAAGAGUACCAGGAGAGACUGAAGGGCGAAGUUGAUGGCGCGCCUGCUGGCCUGCUUCCCCGUCUUCAACAGAACCUCCUCCCGACCCACCUCGCACAGAUCGAACCCUGGCACACAUUAUGAUCUGUUGUGAUGCCGUCUCUGGCUUGAAUUGUUCCCGUUGUGUUGUUUUCUACCCAGCGCGGCAAGGAACUCGUGGCAGCCCGGCAGCCUCCACACGCGCACGCUGAGGGAGGUUUGGACGGCGGCUGACUGCCGGUCGCGUUCGCUGUCGGGCGACGGCAGCUGCGGCAGCACCUGGUGGAGCUGGAGGCGCAAAGUCAUUUCGAAGGAUACUAAGGGAAAGCAAUUGCGAAGGAUACUCAAGGAAAGUCACUGCAAAGCAAAUGAAGGCGAUGCGGGUUACCUUGUGUACGAGCUGCUCUCCCGCUUCAGGUGCUGACAGCAGUUUGCAAAGAGCCUGAAACGCUGCAGCGCUCAGACCUCAACACACACACAAACAGGAGAUAAUCAACUUGGAGCCUUAACCCUGUCAGUAACCCUACAUUUGAAACCGUAACACGUGUUUGAAAACCCAAAUGUGAAACCCCAAACCGAGACCGAAACCCUAACCCUGGCUUGGAACCAUCAUUUGUAAACCUAACCUUGUCUUGAAACCCUUCUUUCCAACCCUAACUGUCUCGAAACCAUCUUUGAAAGCGUAACAUGGGCCUAAAACCUAAAUUCAAAACUGGAAACCUUUUUUGAAACCUUAAUUCUUAAAUCUGUCUUGAAACCCUACUUUGAAACCCCACUUACCCAGCAGGGCCUGCAUGGUGAGGCUGCAGCGUCGCAGCCGUUCUCCAGGAUCCGACGUGGGGAAGAAGACGGCGGCGGGGAGGCCGGAACCGCCGAGGUCCAAACGGAAACCCAACGCCGUCAGCAGGGAUCGCCACCCGGGAACACCGCCGACCUUUUAACACGAGCGCAGCAGACAAGUGAAGGUCGUCGUGGAGAAGGACCCUCAGGGCGUCCCUGGCCCGGUCGGCGUGCCGGAGGACCUCCGCCAAGGCCUGUCGCGCCACGGACUCGGGGCCGCUCACCUUCACGUCGCCGCCGAUCAGAAGGUAACCUGAGCGACGACACGUAGCGCUUGUUCGGAUUUCAAAACACGACAUCACCAAAGAGGGCGAGCCUGGAGCCGGCAGGGUCGAUGCACUCGUGCAACGGACCACCGGAGGCCGCCAGAAAACGCCAAGACCUUCAAUACACUCGAUGUGUCCGGAAAUCAAAAGUGGAACUUUACAUCAUCGCAUGACAUCAUGCAUAAAUUGGGAUUUCAAGCCUGGGUUAAGGUUUCAAAAUAGGGUUUCGAGGCCAGUCUAAGGUUUUAAGUUAAAGUGUCAAGAGAGGUUAGGGUUUUAAAUUACAGUGUAAAACAGGGGUUUCAAAUUACCACUAGGGGUUUCAAAUUAGGAAUAAAGUCAGGGUAAGGGUUUUAAAGUUGGGUUUCAAGCCAGUGUUAGGGUUCGAAAGUAGGGUUAAGGUUUCAAAUUAGUGUUUCAAAGAAAGGUUAAGGUUGAGGGUUUUAAGUCAUUCACUAGGGUAUAAAGCUGGGGUUAUGGUUUCAAAGUGGCGUUUCAAGCCAGGGUUAGGAUUUGAAGUGAGGUCGUAGGGUAUCGAUGAUAUGAAAUGUGCUCAGUCACCUGCCCAGUUUGAGGGGUGUGCGAAGUCCUUGUUGUUGUGUAGCGUCCUCAUGGCGUCAUUGAGCGCGGCGCUGCAGGGGGCGCCAUUGAGCAGAGCCGUGUAGAAGGUCCGCAUGAAGAGUUUGGAGGCAGGGGGGCGGAGUCGGCCACAGAGACACGCACACGCAUCCGACGCCCGCCGACAGCAGGGCUCCGGUCAGGCCCGACAAGCCGUCACACGUCACCCGGACGCCACACUCGGGGAACGACCUGGGAAAUGAGGAGGAGGGGAAACUUGAAAAUCCUUGUAAUUGCUACCCCUGGUUUUAAGACGUAAUUUGAAACCCUAAUCUUAGUUUGAAAUGCUGAAUCUGUCUUGAACCCCUGAUUUGAAACACUAACCCUUGUUGAAGAUGCUGGUUGUAAAACCCUGACUUUUGUUGGAAACCCCUCUUAGGGUAUAACCCGGGAGUGGGUGGACGUCAGAGACGUAAGAGCGUUGAAAAGACUUUGCAAAAACCUUAAACACCAACCUGAGGACCACCAGCUUGACGCUCAGGUUGCGCUCCAAGAUAUCCGCCGCGGUGAGGAGGAAAUCUCCAAGCGGCGGACCGCUGCACGCGCUCUCACAUUCGCUGUCCUCAUCCUCACAAGCCUUCUUCCCUCUAUGUUUGCGCGCCGCACUUGAAGCCAUCAUCUGCCGGCCCCCCCCCUCCUCCUCCUGGGCGGCGGCUCGUUCCCCACCCGGGGCGAACACCAGGGCGGCGAGCUUCCAGGAAACGUGAGUGGCAAAGUGAACGCACUGCGCCCGAGCGAGGGCGGCGAGGGCAGCUUCCUUUGUGGCGUUGACGCCGGUGAGCGGGCGACACCCCAGCUGCUCCCCCAGCCGCAGAGCCUCAUCCCGGGCAGAAGGCAGCGGCCCCCGCAACCAGCGCCGCAUCAGGCCGGGCGGCAGGAGGGGCGCCCCCACCACGGCGGACACAGGAGCCACCGUCCCAGCAGGGCGAGGGGUCACCGGCGUGGGAACGCUUCCCGGAAGCUCGCAGGCUCGCUAACGAGGGCACGCAAAGCAGACUGAACAUCUCGUAGAGGAACUCGUUGGACGAGCUGCCUUUGAGCGAGGCGAAGGGUACCAGGUACAAGUCGCCCUCCAGGACCAGGACCAGCUGCCGUUGUUGGCCCGCUGGACCGCUGCUGUGCAGCAGGGCCUGAUACAAAACAAAAAUCACACACAAACCAAACAUCAGUGGCGGGGGACUCAAGUUACUUGACUUGACUCGACUCUGAUUUAAGUCGCAAAUUUCAGGACUUGGGACUUGUUUGGAACUUGAUGGCUAAGACUUGAAACUCACUUAUAAUUCGCACGUGACUUACGCCCAUCUCCGAGAAAUUAUCCGACGAGCUUUCUUGUCAUGAAUACGUACCGCCUCCAUCGGCGCAAUGAGCAAGUCGUAGAGGGCGCUGAGAGGAGAACGUUCGAUACCCGUCCGGCAGGAAGGAGAAGACGAGCCGUCCUUCGCCGAAGAAACGCUGUUGAUGCUGCUCACGCUGCGGCAGCUUCUGUUCACAAACACAAAGCAGAAAACCACUUUCACACAGCCCGUCUAACCUUUGCGUUACGGAAUGAGGAGACAAGUUUGACCCACAAAUCUUCCAGCUUUGGAGGUCGAAUCAGAGGCGGACCAGAUGCAGAGUGUGUGUGUGUGUGUGGGGAUCACCUGUGUGUGAGGGGAUAGUGGAAAGCCUCUUUGCUAGCAUGCUGAGCUUGUGCAGUCUGUUUGUACGCUCUGCACAGCAGGCACACUGCUGUGCUUGCUUGCUUGGGUAGCAUGCUAGGCUAGCAGGUAAAGGGAGGAGGCACCUGUUGAAGAUGUUGUUCCUGGAUACCAUGCGCAGGUAGCCGCUGGGGUCGUCAUCUGAGCUCAGUUUUUCGCUGAGCUCGUCAAAGUGUAGCUCCGGAACAUCUCCCGCUUCGCUCUCCGUCUCGCUGCCCGCAUGAAGCCUGUAAGGAAAUAUUCUGCAAUAAUGAAUUACACUAACUAAAUGACAUAUGAUGGUUAGCACGACCGCCUCGCAUUUCAGAGGUUGUGGGUUUAAAUCCAGGCUCCGGCCUUCCUGUGCGGAGUUUGCAUGUUACCCCCAAGCUUGUGGAGAUUGUCUCCGGGUGCUCCGGUUUCCUCCCACAUUCCAAAAACCUAAACUUCCCUCUAGUGCAGUAAGUGGUGCUGGAAAAUAAGGGACCAAAACUGCAGAGACCCCACCCCAAGAGUUCAUUGGCAUUGAGGAGGUGCUACCCCGCUAACAGGGAUUUUUUUGGGUCCGAAUAGAGAACAACCGGUCCAUCUCCUUCUGCUUAUUCGGGGUCAGGUCGUGGGGGCAGCAGCCUAAGCAGCUCUUCCACGGGGAUCCCGAGGCAUUCCCGGGCCAGCUAACAGAUAAGUCUCCUGUGGGGCCUCUAAGUUUUGGGAACACCGCACCAGGAAAGUGUCAAGGAGGCAUCCUAACCAGAUGCCCGAGCCGUCUCAUCUGGCUCCUCUCGAUGUGGAGGAGCGGCGGCGCUACUCUGAGCCUUUCCCGGAUAUAUCGAGGUUCUCACCAUAACUCUACGGGAGAGCCGGGACAUUUUUUGUCCGCUUGUAACUGUGCUCUUGUUAUUUCCGUCACUACCCACAGGUCUAGACCAUAGUGGGAACAUGACGCCAACUGGUAAAUCGAGACCUUGUUUCGCCUUUCAGCUCAGCUCCUUUUUACCGUGACAGACUGAUGCAGCGUCUGCAGUACCGAUCGGCCUUGUCCAUCUCCUGCUUCAUUCUUCUCUCAUUCCUGAACAAGACCCCAAAACACUUAAACUCCUUUCGAGGCAAACUGUAAAUGGUUGCACAGGAACCGAACAGCCCAUAUCAGCGAGUCUGGUGCCCCAUAGACCCGGAGCACCCCCACAGGACUCCUCAAGGGACACGCAAGUAUGACAUUACCUGUUCUGAUGAACUCUGGAACAAACUUUUUGCAACAGAUCCCGUGGCCCAAACCUCCAAACGCUUUUAGUUCCGGUGUAAAGUUGUGUAGUUGGCGUAGUUUGUCACCUGCUGAGGUAUCCGUCAACUCCCAGAACCUCUCUAGCGUUGGAGAUGUACUGCUCCAGAGAAAGUAGACCGCCGUCCAACGAGCUCCAACCGUCGUCUUGGAACUCUGGCGCAUCAGCUCCCACACGGGCCUGGUUGAAUUUGACAAUGCCUGCGGUGGCACCGUGACAGUGGGGGUGAGAGGCAUAAAAAGGGGUGACGACCGUGUUAAAUGUGAGAUGUUCUGCUACCUGAACCAGGAGCCAGCAGCCAGCUGUACAGGAAGCCUCCCGCCACUGAAAAGUAUAGCACCAUGGCCUUCAGGGAGUUGACAGUCUCCCUAAUGUGCUCCACCGUAACAGGAGCGUACUGGUCUGAGCCUUCCGGCCGCUGGCGUCCUUUCUGACGUUCCACCAGGAGGUCGGCGAAGGCCCGCGUUCGGCCUCGCUCCGCUAUGGAGAGCGCCUCCUCGUGGCGCCCUGUGGACGAGCGGUAAACUCAUGACAAAUAUGUGAAGAUCGAGGAGACAGUAAUGGGUGGUCAGUGCCAGAGAGGCCUUCCCUGCUGGCCCACAUUUGCAACACAAUUUCUACUAUUUGUUACACGAAAUUGUAUUCAUUCACUGCUCCAGAUGAUGUGUGUGGCACAGUUACAUACUUUUGUUGUGUUUUUGUCAAUUUGUAAUAAUUUCAAUGUGGUAGUAGCGCUAUUAAGAGAUGGAUUAAGUAGGGUAAGUCCCGACUGAAGGCCCAGGUACCAAAUGCAUGGCCCGCCACUGCGUGGAGAUGAUCGCCUACCGAGGCUGACAAGGACUCUCUGGAGAGCCUGGUACGAGCUGCUCUGCAGGUCAAAGAGGGAAAGCUUGUAGUCUGGACUGUGCUGCAUCUCGCGACGAAUACUCUCAAAGAGAAUCGAUGCUCGGUACAGCUGAAACACCCACAACAAUCGAUCCUAACCACAUCAGAGCCAUAUGUUGUUACGCUAACCACUGGAGGCUGUGAGCUACAGACCUGGUGCUGGGCCUCCUCCAGGUUUCCAUCAGCCCAAAGAGACAAGCCGAGACGGUGGCGUAGCUUGGCCUCGUCUUCUCUGCGAGCCAACUGCUCGGCCAGGCGCAGUCCUGAAAGCAAUCAAAGGCUAAUUUGGCAAUCAUUCAGUGGUUGCCGAUUCCCUGAUUACGACAUAAGGAUUUUUACAAGCUGCAAGGUAUAGUUGAGUCAUCAGUCAAGGGAGUGAUUCCGAACAAAGCCAAAAAGCUGUCCGGAUGUCUUGAGGUCGCCGUUACGUUCCUCACCUUCCUGCAGGUACAUCACGGCCUGCGUGUAGUUGCCCAGCGCGUGGUGUACCCUCCCCAGGCUCCCGUAUGCCAACGUUUUGGCCACCAAGUCGUUGGUCUGUGCCGCCAUGCUAAGGUGCUGCUCCUGGAAAACCAGGGCCCUCUCGUAGUUGCCCAGAGCCUCGUAGGUCACUCCUAGGUUUCCGUAGGCUCGGGUUUGGUUCCUCACGCAGCCCUUCUGCUCCGCCAUGUCCAGAGCUCUUUGGUGCCACUGCCGCGCUGUCAUGUAGUCGGCCAUCAAUUGGUAAACUCCACCGAGUGAGUCGCUGGCCUGCGCUUCCAGAGAUUCAUCCUGAUGGGGAAAACGGGCUUGACUUGAUUGCGGGAGCCAGGAUUUUAAAUGACAUGUACGGUGGUACCUUGAUUAACGAAUGCCCCAACUAAGAGAUUGUGGAGUUACGGCCGUCACCUGAUCAAUUUUUGCUGUGUUGUGAGCAAAUAUUUGACUUAUGAAUAAGCUUCAGACAUUCCAGCACUAGGUUGCGUCAAUGUUGGCAGGUAUUAAGUCUAAGUCUAAGUCUAAGUCCAGAUGUUGGGAAGUUUCCUGCCGACAUCUAGCGGUGGAGUGUCUGAAAGCAGAUGUCUGAAAACGUGUGGCCUGUUCAUUGAGUUGAGUGACAGCUACAAGGGUGCUUCUGCGCUUGAGCCAAGAAAGAUGAACCACCGCUCACCCCGGUUGAGCGAGCGAUGCCGAGUUGGUGCUCCAGGCAGGUCAAGGCCUGCUCGUAGUUUCCCAGCUGACUGUGCAGGUCGCCCAGUUCGCCGUAGGCCUGUGCCUUCCCACCUGCCGCUCCGCCCAUCUCGUGGGCCAACACCAGCCGCUUCUCCAAGCACACCAAAGCUUGCUGGAGGUUGCCCACAGACCUGCGCAGAAGGACAGGAAACACAAUCGUCAUUCUGGAAAUGUUCCACCGCUUUGCAACCCCACUCCCCAACACGCCAUGAGACCGAGUCGCAAGAUACCUGUGAGCAUUGCCAAGUCCUCUGUAGGCUUUCUCCUGGUCCUGGACUUGCUUGAGACUUUGAGCCACCGUCAGGGCCUUGUCAUAGCACUGAAUUGCCUCCUCAAAGUCUCCCAGGGCGUCGUAACAGUCUGCAAGGUUACCGUAAGCCUUUCCGCGAUCCAGGAUGCCCUCCCUGGAGCUCACCUGCUGCAACAUGGCUAGCUGCUGCUCCAAGAAGCCAAUGGCCUCCUCAAAGUGGCCCAUGUUCAUCUUGGCGAUGCCCAUGUUCCCGUGGACCCGGGCCUCCAGGCGGGCGUCGUUGAGCCGUUGCGCCAGGCCCAGCUGAGCCUCGUAGCACAGCAGGGUUGUGCCGUAGUCUCCCAGGGCCAUGUGUACGCCGGCCAGGCGACCCAGGGCGUGGCACUCCCCCCGAUGGUCGCCAAGAUCCUUGCGCAGGGUCAGCUCCUGGCUGUGGAAGGACAAGGAUGUGUCCAGCUGGCCAAGCAACCUGACGGGGGCACAGCGGGUCAGACAGCAACACAAGGGCUGUUUGGACACCAUAAUCACCGUGUCGGGAUUUUGACAUCGUGGACUGUAGAGUUCACUCAGUCAAAUGACGAAUAGUUUUGGAACACUACUCAGGCGCCGUUAAUGACAUCAUUGCUGUUGCAUAAUCCAAAUUUACCAGAUCAAUGCUCGCUGGAGAAGCUUCUGUCAUAAUUAUUUUUUGUUACUAAUUCAUUCAGUGACCAAGCUCAUACGUAAGUGAAUUUACUCGCAAACCAAAUAAAUGUUGCCCAUAUAAGUGAAUCGAAAUUCAAUUCAAUUAAUCUCCCCCAAAAAUGUACAUUUUUUUUGUGAGGUGUACAACUGUUUCACGAAGUGUGAUUACUAUACAUUGGGACAAGCUAAAAUAUCGACUGACACAAAAUGUCAGGGCUGCUGUUUCAGCACCCUGAGUCCAGCCCGUGUGUGUGUGUGUCAUGAGUGCUUUGCAGGGUUGGCGUGUUGGAGUCUAGCAGCUGCACCUUGUCAUCCUAAUUACGCCCGACUGCUCUUAAGACGCUGUGGGCGUCCAACUCGUCGCCAGACUAUCAACGCUCUACGUCGAUCUGCCAUCUGCCCUUGCUCCCUGCAAACCAGUGCUCACCUCUUGCAGCCCACCGACAACCAGGACGCCUACCCUGCCAGACCCAAUCUAAAUCCCGGAUUUAGUUCUCAGAGUUCCUUUGUUCUCUUCCGAGCUGCAAUAAACUUUUGUUCACAAACUCA